rnacentral:lncRNA from 1 species
CCCGGUCACUUUUUACCAUGACAGAGCCCCAGACCUAGAGCGAUGGACAGUUGUUUGGUGUUGCUUCCAUUUAAGAAUAAUCGCACCAAUAGUUGUCUGCUUCUCACCAAGGGGGCGGGACAGCCACCAUAACCACGGAUGCCCUGUGCUGCAGGAGCAUCUCCUUCGAUGAUUUUGCCUCAUUUGAAUAUCAUGCCAUAGUUCUAAAGUGCCAGCCUCCUGUUCUGACAGUAACUGUGUAUAGGCCACCCAAGCAAUGUCCCACUUCUCUAACAGACUUUUCAGAACUACUCUCCAUUAUACACACAAACUACGAUAAGAUUAUUAUCACUGGUGAUUUUAACAUACAUGUUGAUAAUGGGAACGACUCAAAGGCCCGGGAUUUUAUGAAUCUCUUGAAUUCCAUGGACUUUACACAACACAUCACUGAACCCACUCACAACCGUGGCCACACCCUUGAUCUAGUUAUUACAAAGGGUCUUACAACUGUUAUAUCGUCUAUCUGUGACCUUGCUCUUUCUGACCACUUUUGUAUUUUCUUUACAGCACUGGUACCUAAAGUUAGAAAUAGUGCUGAAUGUUUUAUUAAGAAACGCUAUCUUAACUCUGCAGCAGCUGAGAAUUUCAAAGUAAUGAUGAACAUAACUAGUACAAAAAACCCAGAUACGGGGCCAUCAUGUGUUAAUGAUCUAGUAACUACUCUAAAUACAAAAUUAAGGACAGCACUUGACUCUGUAGCACCAUUGAAACAAAAAAAGGUUUUAGCCAAACAAAAAGCUCCAUGGAGAAAUGAGGAAAUUAUUAAACUUAAGAGAUCCUGCAGAAGGUCUGAGCGUACAUGGAGAAAGACCAAGCUACAGGUCCACCUUGAUAUCUUUAAGGAUAAACUUUCAGUCUUUAAUAAAGCAAUAAGAAAUGCUAGGAAGGAUCAUUUCUCUAAUUUGAUAUCUACAAAUUCUAACAAUUCCAGGGUCCUCUUUUCAACAAUAGACAGCCUUAUAAAUCCUGCACCUAAAGUAGAUGAUAGUCUCUUUUCCACCCCCAAAUGUGAGGAAUUUGCAGCAUUCUUCAGAGAUAAGAUAACGAACAUUAGGAAAAAUAUUGCUCAAGAAAUUCCAAAUGUCUUGUUUUCUGAUCCCCUUCCACCAUGCUGUAACAGUAUGAGCUUUUUUGCACUGGCUGAUAUAGAAAUGCUGAGCAAAGUAGUGUCACAACUGAAGCCGUCUACAUGCCCUCUUGAUCCCCUUCCCACCAAAUUUUUUAAGACCAUCUUUGACUCUGUGUCUAAGGACAUUCUAGCCAUUAUAAACUGUUCCCUGCUUAUUUUGCAUUCUUGUAAAAUGUAUUUAACAUUUAUGGAACAUUUAUUUAUUUACUUAUUUCUGUCUCUUUUCAAGUGUUUGUACC